rnacentral:rRNA from 1 species
GAUGAACGCUGGCGGCGUGCCUAAUACAUGCAAGUCGAGCGAACAGACGAGGAGCUUGCUCCUCUGACGUUAGCGGCGGACGGGUGAGUAACACGUGGAUAACCUACCUAUAAGACUGGGAUAACUUCAGGAGACCGGAGCUAAUACCGGAUAAUAUAUUGAACCGCAUGGUUCAAUAGUGAAAGACGGUUUUGCUGUCACUUAUAGAUGGAUCCGCGCCGCAUUAGCUAGUUGGUAAGGUAACGGCUUACCAAGGCAACGAUGCGUAGCCGACCUGAGAGGGGGAUCGGCCAAACUGGAACGGAGACACGGUCCAGACCCCAACGGGGGGCAGAAGUAGGGAAUCUUCCGCAAUGGGGGAAAGCCGGACGGAGCAACGCCGGGUGGGUGAUGAAGGUCUUCGGAUGGUAAAACUCUGUUAUUAGGGAAAAAAAAAUGGGUAAGUAACUAUGCCCGUCUUGACGGUACCUAAUCAAAAAGCCACGGCUAACUACG